UGCAGGCUGCACCGCCACAAAUACCAACAUGGAGCUGCACUUCGCUUUACACUUUUCACAGCUGCAAGCCAGAGGCUAGUGGAUGUCCAGAUAGGAGACGACAUUACAGAGCAGCAGCAACUGGUGGACACAGAGCCAGAGAUAAGUGAGUGUCUAAAAGAUUCAGAACAGCUGCGGUUUAAAAUUUGCUAUUGAUUUUUUAAAUUAUUUUAAUUGUAGUACAGUAGUAAUAAUCUUUAAGUGACUUCUCAUUGCUGUUUUUAGUAAUAAAAGCGAAGAUAGAGCUGAAUACAUCUGGAGUCAGAGCUCUGGAAUAAUCAGAACAGCUGAACAUGCAGGAUGAUCAGGGUUAGCAUUGAUGCUAAGCAGCAACACGACAGAAGAGACUUCAGGCAUGUCUGAGAAACUUCACACUGAUCUGGACAGAAAUCAAGACCUGAGCUUUUUAUUAAUUAUUAUCAUUUCUCUUUUAACAGUUUUGCUAAAAUAAUCUUUGGUACGAUGUGUGGCACCACAGGAAACGCUCUCAGUCACAUCUACUUGAGACGCAUCAACACCUGUCUGACUGCAUGGACUGACCUCACCAUGUGAGAACAGUCAGUCAGUCAGUCAGUCAGUCAGUGAUGCAAAACCAUGUUAAAAUUCUGGACUGGAGGCUCUGUGACAGUUAAACACUGGACAAUUAUAGGAAACAGUUUUUAUAAAAAAAAAUUUUUUAACCUCUGCAGAUAAAAUAUGUUAUUUAGUUUUUAACAGCAGUUUUAUAUUUAAUAAUGUAGAAACUGCCCAGGUCAGCUGAUCCCAGAGCAAACAAGUGACUCACUUCUAGAACCUCACAGAGAAACAGAAAACUGGGAGGGAGAAACUUUACAGAGAAAAUGUUUUAUUCUCUUUGCUAAAGCUGAGAGUUUCUAUGAGAAUCAUUUUUAUUGAAAUCUGACCAGACCUGGUGAAAGUGAAGGUCUCUAAUGCAGAACAAAGAAACUGGAAAAACGACUUUAACACGAUGAAAUAAAAACUCUACAGGCAGCAUAGAGAUUUAAAAACUGUGACACGGCGAAGGAGACCCUGAAAGUCUGAAAAUGAUAGAAGCAAACAGAGGAAAGAAAAAGGUCUGAAUAUUUCCUAAAGCAGAAAACUGGAAGCAGGUGAGACAGUUCAUGAGUCUCUGUGGUUCAUAAGCUGUUAGAAAAACCUGAAACAAACUGAGGAUGUUUCCAUAGAAUAACGAACACUAAACAGAUUAACACACAAUAUAAUAAAAUAUAUUUUCCUUAAUAAAGUCCUUAAAAAGCUCUGGUGCAUUCAAAGAAAAACAGUUAAACAGCAAACCUCAUGUGACCUCUGACCCCUGAUGUUCAUGGAGGUUAGGAACCACAAACCAGACAAGAAUUUAUUAAACUGCCUCUAAAAAUCCUUAUAACUGCUUAUUUUAACAGGUUAAACACCAAACAGGCUUUAUGACGCUCAGUGGAAACGUCUGCUGGGGAUUCAGCCAAUCAGUGCCAAGCAAAAUUAGCAUAGUUAGCAUUGAGCUGCAUUAGCAUUGAGCUUCAUUAGCGUAGUUAGCAUUGAGAGGGAAUCCAGUGUGAGUCAGUGACAGCAGAUGGAUUUUGCUGUCGACUGAAUGUUUCUGUAAAUCCUCAGUGGAACAACUGAACUGUUUAAACGUGUGGCAGUAAUGACCAUGUUGGAGAGAAGGUCAGAGGUCAAAGAUUCGAUGCGCUGAAGUGGCAGCUGAUGGAAACGGAGCUGAAGAGGUUGUGACAUCAGACUCAUUAAAACUUAAGAUAUUAUUAUGUUAAACACACACGGAGUGUGUGGCAGGCCUCGGUGCUGCCUGCCGGAUGAAUUAUGCAGACUGCAGUGGAUCCGUGUCUUAAAGAGCCACACACUCACAGAAACACUCCGGCUCUCGCUCUGACUCUCCAGACAGCCGCUGCGUGAAGCAGAGCUGCGCUGGAAGCAUCUUAAUUCCUUCUUCUCACUAUCAAACAUGAAGACCUGAGUUUAUUUGACUAAGAGAAAACAACAUCCAGCAAAUUAAUCUCAGUGCCCAACACUUGUUUUCCUGCUCCUAAAAUCCUUCAAUACUUAAUAAGUUGAGCCUCCAGCUGUGAAGGAGGAACUAUUAAUCCCACAAUGCAUUGCAUUUACCUCUUUCAGUUUAGCACCUCUAGUCAACGUUCAGCUCAGCAACCAAUCAGAGAGUCUCACCUGGCAGGUGUGACUCUGAACACAGCUCCAGUAAUUCUAACAAUAACUGGUUAUCUUCAUCUUCUGACACAUUUCAGACUUUUUUAUCUUCAUAAGAACGUUAAGAAGAGAUUCUGCUGAUAUUAAAACUAAUUAAGGCAGCAUACAAAAUGUGUUUACAAUUCUUUAAUAGGAUUAAUUAUUCACAUUUAUGUUUGAUGUAUUUUAAGUCUUUUCAAUUAACUGAAUGUUUUAUUUAUAAGAUUAAUAAUUUGCUUUAUUAAAAAGUGUCAGUGAAUGCCUCCAUGUUUUUAUUAUCAGGAACAAAAAGGCAACAAUAUGUUUAUGAAUGUUAUGAAGUUGUAUUUGGGAGUUUAUUGACCCUUAAAAUGUGGAUUAUAUUUUUACAUUUCUGAAUGAUCAUUUUGGCUCUUCAUGUUUAUUUGUGGUUGAAUGUUUGAUGAGAAUCAGAGACGUUGGUUUCCUCUUCCUGUCCUACACAUCCCACCAGAACCAGAACCAGAACCAGACCUCUGGUGUAAAUCUCCCUCUGUCUCUCGCUGCCUUUCAUGCGGCUCUGAGGGAGAGGCUUAGGCUUAGAGACUCAAACGGCUAAGUGAGGGAUAAUACUACCAUUAAAGAGAGAGACGGAGACGCAGACAGAAGGAGGGAGAGAAGGAGGGAUGGAGCAGAGAGGGAAUCAAAAGCCGUCGUUCAUAAAAGACUUAAAGAAGUUGAAAGAGCAGAAAAAAUAAUUCCUCUUACUGAGGUUUUAGCUAAAGUCUGCUGAUAUCUGCAUCACUGGUGAGGGUUGGAUUUAAACUCCAGUGAGUUUAAUAUUAUUUAUGCAUCACAACAGAAAACAGAAAGAAUAAAGAGGACAGGAAUGGAGGGAUGACGGAGAGAAACGGAGGAGCAGAUCUACAGAUCCAGUCUUCAUUCAUCCAACCUGCAGAUUCUUUGAUUCAGAAAAUGUUUCUAAGUUUGCAGACGACCUCUGCUUUUUGAAACAUAAACGUUUCAGAUCAGCAGAAAUAUUUAAAUGUCUUUAAUUCAAUAGAUUCAAAUGUGGAUUCUUUAACUUGACAGAGGAGGAAUCUAUUCUGGAGCCAGUUUAAGGUCAGGUCAAACUUCCUCAACUUUAUCUCCCAACCAAACUUUGACUAGGACACUCCUGAAACACUUAAAAGCUCCUUGCACCAAUCUGAUGGUUGAAUAAUCUGGAUAACAGAUUACAAACAAUAAAUAUCUUUACUGUUGAGAUCCUGCAGCCUGAACCGCCUCACUGAAUUAUUCAUUCAAAAGUUUAGCAGCAAAAAGAGUUUUAGGAUUGAAAAUGUUUGUUAUUUUAUUAAUAUAUAGUUUCAUUAAAAUACAAAUAAUUAAUUACACACCCUGCAAAAACCUUGACUAAAGAUUCACUAAUAUUAAAGAAAAUAAUCGACAUGAAUAAAUUUAUUGCUUUUGUUUGUUGUAGAUUUCACCACUAAAAUGCAAAAAAACAAAAAACAAUCCCACGACUCAAAAUAAAGUAAGUGUGUGAAUAAAUAAAGUAGAUUCUUAAGGAAUUAAAACGUUGCUGUUUGGUUCCUCAGGACUGAUUCCCCGCUGACGGAGGGCAGAGGGAGGAACCAUCAGCAGUCUGGCUGAGCACUGACUGCUGCAUCUGAGCAUGCGUUCCUGGAAGUUGAAGGUCAGUGAAAGGAGAAGCAAACAGCAUCACUUCUGUCAAUCAGGAGAGGCGCAUUCCAGACAGGAAGGAGGGGGAGCUGGGAGGAAGUCACAAAAUAAGGUGAAAAAGAGAGAGAGGAAUGAGAACAGACGAUAAAUAAUUGAUCCGCCGCUGAGCAGAGCUUUUAAAGAGCGACACCGUCACACCGCAGCACUCGACACAACGUAACCUAGAUAGAUCUGUUUGAACAAAUGUUUGCUUUGCUGCUUAUUCCUUCUGCCAGGUUCAUUAGAAAGCGAUCCAACAUGGCCGAAAGCCUCUGGGAGCCGAGAGGAGGAGUUGUUCUUUUCCAUUUCUUCUGGCUUUUUAUGCACAGAAUGACCUUAACAAGCUAAACACACCGACAUUAAAACAUUUGGAUGAUGGCUGAUGGAGGGAAUCAUUUGUCGAUUCAUAAGCCACAUUGUUCACAGCAUAUUUACGUGGUUAAGUUCAGUGUGAAUGAAUAGUACCUCAGUGAUUAAAGGUGUAAAGUGUUAAUUAUUAUCACACCUUCAUCCAGUGGAUUCGUUUAUCCUCAGGUUAAAUGUAGAAACCAGGAGAAGCAGCAGAUCGCUGGGCUUCAGUCAAACACUCUGCAUGCUGCACAACAAACUACAAUCAGACAAAAUAUCUACAAGCUAACAGUCACUAUAAAACCUCCUGACGGUGGAUUUCGUCACAGGAAGUCGAAUCGUUUUCUUUCUGAAGGCAAAACGAGGAACGGAUGACUGAGUCAGACCAGAGACUUUAAACUCCGACUGCUGUCAUCCUGCCGCUGAAAUCAGCUGAAUCAGAUCAUUUGACCUCGAAAACAAAAUGUCACAUUGCAGCGAGACUUUUAUCUUCAGGACAAAUUACAGUGGAGUGAAAGAAAGAUUUUUUUUCCAGAAAAUGAAAAAUGAUUUGUGAUCCAGCAGGAAGAACUUCAGCCUGAAGCAGAAGCUGAGUUAUGAAAGUCAGGAAGCUUCACGUUUCACGACCAACAUCUCAGCCACCGGUGAUCCAACAUGGCUGCCUGACUGACUGCCAGGCUGAGAGACAAGCUGACAGUUUUCCUCCUGGAAUCCUGAUGGAGACGAGUCAGCAGGUUUCCUGAGACUGGCAGCCGUUGUGGAUCUGGAUCGUGUUUCAGCUGAAGACAGACGGGCGGUUGGAGCCGUCCACACAGAGGGACGUCGAUAUGUAACCAGUGACUGGCAGCUGGAUUUGAUUCCGCCUCUUCAGGGGAACCUAAACCCGACCCACACUCACCGUGGUCCUGCUGAGCGUCUUUCACGCCGAGUCUUCAUCUUUUAACCUUUGACCCGUCCAUACGGAGACGCUUUCAGAUAAACAACAGCAAAAUAAACAGCCCGGUGCCCAACGCGGCUCCUGACAGGCAGAAGUGACAGCUGCUGGAAAAAUCCGGUUCUGAAGUUCAGACUGAAAGAAUAUCAAUCAUCCCCACCAGAAAACACUCGGGUGGCAGACAUGGAGAACCGGCGGUGCUCAGACGCUGAAGGGAACGUAGAUGAAGGAAUGAUAAAUAUUUUCAUCUCCACUCAGUUGAUUAAACAUCAACUGGUCAUUGUUCACAGAGUGUUCUCCAAGCGUGUUAAUGGGAAAUUGAGUGGAAGAAAAAAGUGGCUUUAUUCUUCAUAAAGAAUAUGGAGGAAGUACAUUUUGAGUUAAAAUGUUUUCACAAAGUUAGCAGGUUCCUACAUGGUAUUUAAAGACGAGGAAGGAAAAAGAUGAAUAAACCGAUUUGUGUCUGUUGGAGCGAAGCAGAACGUUGUGAGGCUCGUUCACUGAACCGCAGUGACUGGAUGUGAAACAGGAUGUUAGUUUGUGUUAUUAAUUGAAAAACAUCAACAUUUAUGAAAAUCAAUGUGCAGCUCUGAUCUUGGAUAUUUGAUUGAAACUUGGUGCCGAUGUAGUAAUGAUUUGUUCCCUGGCUCUGUAUUGUGCUGCAGAUGCUUCACUGCAGCAUCUCAGAGGCUGCAGCAACGAGCUUUACAUGAAAUGCUGCAGCUUUACAUGAAAUGCUGCAGUUCCUGUUGCAUUUCUAAUGCGGCAAGAGACUAAAAUAGUCUGGAAUAGUCUGCAUACACGACUUCAAUAUAAAGAAUCGCUUAGUGAGCCUAACCUGCUGUUAGGUCCACAAAGAGACAUAGACGGACGCACACAGCAGAACAUAACACGCAACACUAAUGCCCACCCUGACCUUUCACCCCAUCUAUAAGUCAUGUUGGCUCAGACUAAACAUUCAAGCACAAUCUGAAGGAGCGUCGAGUCCUGGAACCUGCCGGGUCAGCGUUCACAGUCCGUCCCGAAAACCUGCCAAACAAAUGAAAACACUGUAAACGCUAACGCUCCAGUUUCAGGCUCCAGUAAAUUUAAAGAGCUCUAGGCAAAGGAAGCAGUGCUGGCUGGAUCAAAUGGAGGUGUGUGGGCGUGUGUGUGGGCGUGUGUGUGUGUGUGUGUGUGUAGGGGUGUACAUAUGCAUGCUGGGUGGUGUA